UACGUAGGUGGCAAGCGUUGUCCGGAUUUACUGGGCGUAAAGGGCGUGCAGGCGGUCUGUUAAGUGCAGGGUGAAAGCUCCCGGCUCAACUGGGAGAGGUCCUUGCAUACUGGCGGACUUGAGGGGGGUAGAGGAAAGUGGAAUUCCCGGUGUAGUGGUGAUAUGCGUAGAUAUCGGGAGGAACACCUGUGGCGAAGGCGGCCUGCUGGGCUGUUGCUGACGCUGAGGCGCGACAGCGUGGGGAGCAAACAGG
rnacentral:rRNA from 1 species